AUUGAACGCUGGCGGCAGGCCUAACACAUGCAAGUCGAGCGAGCGGCGGACGGGUGAGUAAUGUCUGGGAAACUGCCUGAUGGAGGGGGAUAACUACUGGAAACGGUAGCUAAUACCGCAUACCAUCAGAUGUGCCCAGAUGGGAUUAGCUAGGAGGUGGGGUAACGGCUCACCUAGGCGACGAUCCCUAGCUGGUCUGAGAGGAUGACCAGCCAACCGUGAACUGAGACACGGGCCAGACUCCUACGGGAGGACGCAGGGGGGAAUAUUGCACAAUGGGCGCAAGCCUGAUGCAGCCAUGACGCGGGUGUGAAGAAGGCCUUUGGGGUUUAAAGCACUUUCAGCGGGGAGGCGUUACCCGCAGAAGAAGCACCGGCUAACUCCGUGCCAGCCGCCGCGGUAAUUC
rnacentral:rRNA from 1 species